rnacentral:rRNA from 1 species
CACCGCGGUUAUACGAGAGGCUCGAAUUGACAUUUCUCGGCGUAAAGUGUGAUUAGAGACCAUAAAAUACUAAAGCCAAACACCCCUUAAGCUGUCAUACGCAACCGGGAGCAUGAGGCCCCCAAACGAAAGUAGCUUUAACAACACCCUUGAAUUCACGACAGUUAAGAAA